rnacentral:rRNA from 1 species
UACAGAGGUCCCAAGCGUUGUUCGGAUUUAUUGGGCGAAAGGGUGCGUAGGCGGCGGAGUAAGUUGGGUGUGAAAUCCCGGGGCUCAACCUCGGAAUUGCAUUCAAUACUGCUUCGCUCGAGUACUGGAGAGGAGGCUGGAAUUUACGGUGUAGCAGUGAAAUGCGUAGAUAUCGUAAGGAAGGCCGGUGGCGAAAGCGAGCCUCUGGACAGUUACUGACGCUGAUGCACGAAGGCCAGGGGGAGCAAACGGGG